rnacentral:piRNA from 1 species
UCCCAAUGAAUGCAAACGGCCAAAACCCUA